rnacentral:lncRNA from 1 species
UGCUGCCACCAUAUAAGAAGUGCCUUUCACCUUCCACCAUGAUUCUGAGGCCUCCCCAUCCAUGUGGAACUAAAUGGAAUCUUUCUCUGUUGCCCAGGCCAGAGUGCAUUGGCACCAUCACAGCAAAGUGCAGCCUCAACCUCCUGGGCUUGGCUAAAGCAAUCCUCCCACUUCAACCUCCUGAGUAGCUGGGACUGCAGGAAUGGGGACAAAGCUAUUGAAAACUUCUCCUUCUCAGGCUCACUUCGCCAACAUCUGUGGCUGAAUGUAGACAUUCCCCCUUUUAGGCAAAUUUCUUUAAAUUCAUAGCAAGGUAUGACCAAGAACAUUAAAACAAUGCUUCAUUGCUUAUGCCUGACGUUGAAGAGCAAAAUUUACAUCUGCUACACAGUUCAAGGUUUCCAUGGCCUUAGUAGAGGUCAUGAAAUGUACAGUUUUAAAACUUAUUGGAGUAUCUUUAUGAACGAUUUUAAUGGACUAGAGUGACAAUAUUUUUAUACAACAUUGACCUCCCCUGCCCCAAAUGAUGUGAAAGACUGUGGCUGUAUUAGAAUUUAGUCUAGUAAGACCAAUACCAUUUCAGGGAGUUUUUUGUAGUUUUCCUCCAUAAAUAUAUUUUCCACAUCAACUGCUCUGAGCUGAGUUGCUGGAACAUUUUCAAUUCUUUAUAAGUACAUAUUUUGGCUGAGUUCAGAAACCUUGGACUAGGCACUGUCCUUUGAGUGAGACGUCAGGAUUGAGGUAGCAUAGGCACAAGACCAAAUUUUAGUUCAUGAUGGAGUAUUGCCAGCUUGUGAGCCUCUGGUGCUUUCAAGGAAGCACAGGUGAUGGAAAUCAAAUAAAAACAGAGCCAGGAAAACAUCUGGUGUGGAAAGUAGCUCAUUGCAUAAAAUGCUAAAAACAAAAAGUUGAGAAAAUUAAGCCUCUUCUACUUUUUAAAAGAAAAAUUUGACUCUACCAAUUAUAACCACAAGGAAUGUUCUCCAGACUUGAAUAUUUUAAGUGAAAGAUUAAUAUCCAGCCAUUUAUAAACCUCCAAAUCCUUUCCCCAACUUUAUUCAUACCAUUUUUUAUUAUAAAUUUUCAAAAAAUUUACUGAUCUAGUUUGGAAAAAUCAUGUCCUUGAACUGUUGAACCAUAUUUGUAAUCUGUUUCAAUAAAAAUAUAGAUAUAAUACUUAGAAAAACAGAUUCUUUCUGGAAUUGGAAGGUUAAUGAUGAUUUCAUCUAUGUUUCUGUCUCCUAGUUCAACCAUUUAUCCAACAUUCUACCGAAUUAUCCUCUUGCCUUUGUCUUCACAGCUGCAAAGACAGGGAAUUCAAUGCCUUGAUGAAAACAAACCAGGAUUCAUAAGCUUUUACUGAAACAUGACUAAAAAUGUCAAACUAUUAGAAAAAGUAUAUCCACAUUCAUUCAAGAUGAAGAAAAACUCAUCAUAGCUUAUCUUAGCCUGACUUAAAUGAUAGAAGUCAUAUUUGAUUGCCAUUUUAAAUCAUUUUACAGUUUUUAGCAAGGAGAUUCCUUAAAGAACUAGAAGUAGACCUACGAAUCAAUCCAGCAAUCCCACUCCUGGGUAACUACCCAAAGGCAAAAAGUCAUCAUAUCAAAAAGACACAUGCACAUGCAUGUUUAUAGCAGCACAGUUCACAAUUCCAAAAAUGUGGAACCAACCUAAAUGCCCAUCAAUCAAGGAGUGGAUAAAGAAAAUGUAUGUAUACACCAUGGAAUACUACUCAGCCAUAAAGAGGAAUGAAAUAAUGGCCUUUCCAGCAAUUUGGAUGGAGCUGGAGGCCAUUGUUCUAAAUGAAGUAACUCACGAAUGAAAAACCAAAUAUCAUAUGUUCUCACUUAUAAGUGGGAGCUAAGCUAUGAGGACACAAAGGCAUAAUAAUGAUGCAAUGGACUUUAGGAACUCAGGGGGAAGUGUGGUAGGAAGUGAGGGAUAAAAGACUACUCCUUGGGUACAGUGCACACUGCUUGGGUGAGGGGAACACCAAAAUCUCAGAAAUCACCACUAAAGAAUUUAUCUAUGUAACCAAAAACCACCUGUACCCCCAAAAACUAUUGAAAUAAUAAAAAAUAUAUUUUACAGUUUUCAUAUAUAUAUAUAUAUAUAUAUAUAUAUAUAUGUGAUCAAUUUAUGGUUACAAAGUAAACACAGGCCCCAACAGCUUUGUGUGUGUGUGAAAUUUAACUGAUAUAUUACUGUGAAAGUAUCUAACACUAAGUAGAUGCCGAUAUGUUGAACUUUUGCUACCAGGCAUGAAAUAAUCCAUAUUUGGUAAAGAAUCAAGAGGUUAAAGGAACUACCAGAGGAGUCAUAAGAACUCACAUUUCCUGCUUUAAAAUUCUAUAACCUUGGAAUCCAUGAUGCUAAUUUUUGGCUCCCAAAUUGGCAGGGAUGUUUUUCUCCCACUCCUCCAAUUUUUUCCCCUGAUUAUUGUUCUUCUCAUAGAGAUAUUUAUUACCACUUUAAGAAACACGUUUGUUGUUAUUAGUUGUUCGCCUGCAUUAUUCAGUAUAAUCAGAACAAAAUAUACUUUACAUUUUUAGAUUCAACUGAACUGCUGCUCCACUGUGGGAACCAAGAUUAUUAAAAAACAAAUUUGUCUAUACCUCAAAACCCU